GGUGCGUAACGCGUGAGCAACUUGCCCUCAUCCUUGAAAUAAUCGCUGGAAACGGCGUCUAAUGCCCCAUGGUGAUGUCCUCAGGCAUCUGAGGUCAUCUAAAGAUCCGUCGGAUGGGGAUAGGCUCGCGUGACAUUAGCUAGACGGCGGGGUAACGGCCCACCGUGGCGACGAUGUCUAGGGGUUCUGAGAGGAAGGUCCCCCACACUGGAACUGAGACACGGUCCAGACUCCUACGGGAGGCAGCAGUGAGGAAUAUUGGUCAAUGGCCGGAAGGCUGAACCAGCCAUGCCGCGUGAAGGUCAGUGCCCUAUGGGCGUUAAACUUCUUUUGUGCGGGAGCAAUAAUGGUCACGUGUGGCCAGACGAGAGUACCGUACGAAUAAGCAUCGGCUAACUCCGUGCCAGCAGCCGCGGUAAUACGGGGGAUGCAAGCGUUAUCCGGAUUUAUUGGGUUUAAAGGUGCGUAGGCUGUGAGGUAAGUCAGCGGUGAAAUGCCCCCGCUCAACGGGGUGAAGUGCCAUUGAUACUGCCUUGCUGGAAUGCGGAUGCCGUGGGAGGAAUGUGUGGUGUAGCGGUGAAAUGCAUAGAUAUCACACAGAACACCGAUUGCGAAGGCAUCUCACGAAUCCGCGAUUGACGCUGAUGCACGAAAGCGUGGGUAUCAA
rnacentral:rRNA from 1 species